UACGUAGGGAGCGAGCGUUGUCCGGAUUUAUUGGGCGUAAAGCGCGCGUAGGCGGUUUGGUAAGCCGGAUGUGAAACCUCCAAGCUCAGCUUGGAGCCGCCAUCCGGAACUGUCAUGACUUGAGUCAGGUAGGGGAACACGGAAUUCCAGGUGUAGCGGUGAAAUGCUUAGAUAUCUGGAGGAACACCAGUGGCGAAGGCGGUGUUCUGGGCCUGUACUGACGCUAAAGCGCGAAAGCGUGGGGAGCGAACAGG
rnacentral:rRNA from 1 species